rnacentral:rRNA from 1 species
UACGUAGGGGGCAAGCGUUGUCCGGAAUCAUUGGGCGUAAAGCGCGUGUAGGCGGUCCGGUAAGUCGGCUGUGAAAGUCCAGGGCUCAACCCUGGGAUGCCGGUCGAUACUGCCGGACUAGAGUUCGGAAGAGGCGAGUGGAAUUCCCGGUGUAGCGGUGAAAUGCGCAGAUAUCGGGAGGAACACCAAUGGCGAAGGCAGCUCGCUGGGACGUUACUGACGCUGAGACGCGAAAGCGUGGGGAGCAAACAG